CUACACAUGCAGUCGAACGAAGACCUUCGGGUCUUAGUGGCGCACGGGUGCGUAACGCGUGGGAAUCUGCCCUUGGGUUCGGAAUAACAGUUAGAAAUGACUGCUAAUACCGGAUGAUGUCUUCGGACCAAAGAUUUAUCGCCCAAGGAUGAGCCCGCGUAGGAUUAGGUAGUUGGUGGGGUAAAGGCCUACCAAGCCGACGAUCCUUAGCUGGUCUGAGAGGAUGAUCAGCCACACUGGGACUGAGACACGGCCCAGACUCCUACGGGAGGCAGCAGUGGGGAAUAUUGGACAAUGGGGGAAACCCUGAUCCAGCAAUGCCGCGUGAGUGAUGAAGGCCUUAGGGUCGUAAAGCUCUUUUACCAGGGAUGAUAAUGACAGUACCUGGAGAAUAAGCUCCGGCUAACUCCGUGCCAGCAGCCGCGGUAAUACGGAGGGAGCUAGCGUUGUUCGGAAUUACUGGGCGUAAAGCGCACGUAGGCGGUUAUUCAAGUCAGAGGUGAAAGCCCGGGGCUCAACCCCGGAACUGCCUUUGAAACUAGAUGACUGGAAUCUUGGAGAGGUCAGUGGAAUUCCGAGUGUAGAGGUGAAAUUCGUAGAUAUUCGGAAGAACACCAGUGGCGAAGGCGACUGACUGGACAAGUAUUGACGCUGA
rnacentral:rRNA from 1 species